rnacentral:rRNA from 1 species
GACGAACGCUGGCGGCGUGCUUAACACAUGCAAGUCGAACGGAAAGGCCCUGCUUUUGUGGGGUGCUCGAGUGGCGAACGGGUGAGUAACACGUGAGUAACCUGCCCUUGACUUUGGGAUAACUUCAGGAAACUGGGGCUAAUACCGGAUAGGAGCUCCUGCUGCAUGGUGUGGGUUGGAAAGUUUCGGCGGUUGGGGAUGGACUCGCGGCUUACCAGCUUGUUGGUGGGGUAGUUGUUUACCAAGGCUUUGACGGGUAGCCGGCCUGGGAGGGUGACCGGCCACAUUGGGACUGAGAGACGGCCCAGACGGCUACGGGAGGCAGCAGUGGGGAAUAUUGCACAGUGGGGGGAAGCCUGAUGCAGAAACGCCGGGUGCGGGAUGACCGGCUUCGGGGUGUAAACCGCUUUCGCCGGAGACGAAGCGGUAGUGACGGUAAUGGGUAAAGAAGCACCGGCUAACUACGUG